CUUGAAUACAUUAGCAUGGAAUAAUGAAAUAGGACGUUCGAUCCUAUUUUGUUGGUUUCUAGGAUUGACGUAAUGAUUAAUAGGGAUAGUUGGGGGCAUUAGUAUUCAAUUGUCAGAGGUGAAAUUCUUGGAUUUAUUGAAGACUAACUACUGCGAAAAGCAUUUGCCAAGGAUGUUUUCAUUAAUCAAGAACGAAAGUUAGGGGAUCGAAGACGAUCAGAUACCGUCGUAGUCUUAACCAUAAACUAUGCCGACUAGGGAUCGGAUGAUGUUAAUUUUUUAAUGACUCAUUCGGCGCCUUACG
rnacentral:rRNA from 1 species